rnacentral:rRNA from 1 species
UACAGAGGUCUCAAGCGUUGUUCGGAUUCAUUGGGCGUAAAGGGUGCGUAGGCGGCGCGGUAAGUCGGGUGUGAAAUCUCGGGGCUUAACUCCGAAACUGCAUUCGAUACUGCUGUGCUUGAGGACUGGAGAGGAGACUGGAAUUUACGGUGUAGCGGUGAAAUGCGUAGAUAUCGGGAGGAACACCAAUGGCGAAGGCAGCUCGCUGGGACGGUACUGACGCUGAGGCGCGAAAGCGUGGGGAGCAAACAGG